rnacentral:rRNA from 1 species
AUUGAACGCUGGCGGCAGGCCUAACACAUGCAAGUGGAGCGGCGCGGCGUACGGGAGAGUAAUGCCUAGGAAUCUGCCUGGUGGUUGGGGAUAACGUCCGGAAACGGGCGCUAAUACCGCAUACUAUCAGAUGAGCCUAGGUCGGAUUAGCUAGUUGGUGGGGUAAAGGCCUACCAAGGCGACGAUCCGUAACUGGUCUGAGAGGAUGAUCAGUCACACUGGAACUGAGAAACGGUCCAGACUCCUACGGGAGGCAGCAGUGGGGAAUAUUGGACAAUGGGCGAAAGCCUGACCCAGCCCUGGCGCGUGUGCGAAGAAGUCCUUGGGAGUGUCAAGCACUUUAAGUUGAGAGGCCUUACCCACAGAAUCAGCACCGGAUAACUUCGUGACAGCAGCCGCGGUAAUAC